rnacentral:lncRNA from 1 species
GUCAGUUCGCAAUGGCUUCCCUCAAGUAUACAGCUCUCCUGUGCCUCGUGGGCUUCGCAAUCGCUGAGUCCUGCAAUGCCGAGGAAACUGUGAGGGAGAAGAGAGGCUUCCUCGGAGGCGGCCAAACGGGCGGUUACGGAGGGAGCAGCGGCUCCACCGGAGGCUACGGCAGCGGCGGAGGCGGAGGUUACCUGAUCGUCGGCGCCGGGGGAGGCGGAGGCCACCACGGCC